AUGUCUAAAAACACUCAGAAAACUUUAGAUUUCCUUAAUGUAAGAGGGAGGAAAUCACAUCUGUAAGAGCAAACAAACAAUACAGUUUAUGACAAAAAAAGAUUGAUUUUUUUAUUUUUUAUUAAAAAAAGUAACUUAAUAAUUAGUCAGGGCCAUGAAGGAAACAGCUGCAGUGGACAGAGUACUAUAGAGACAUCCGAACUGAAUUGAUGCCCAGAAUAGACUUUGACUUGUGAAAAUAAUCCAUCUUUUUGUGUUGUUUUAGACUCAUUUGUCAAUUUUUAACAUUUGUUUUCAAGGACUUGAUGGAGUAAAAACUAAAAGCAGAUAUUCAUGCUUUAAUCUGUCAUAUGAGCAGUUUAUUGAUCUGUACGGAAGAGGAUUAGGGCCACUGAAAAAAAAAAGAAAGCCCAUGAAAAAUUCUGACUUUAAUCUCAGAAUUCUGACUUUUUUCUCAAGUCAGAAUUGUGAGAAAAAAGUCAGAAUUCAGAGAAAAAUACUCAGAACUACGGAGGCCCGUGAGUAACAUUCUGCAGCUAGCUCUAGCAGCACACCGGAGUCCUGCCAACCGGAGAGAAACGAACAAAAUUGUCCUCUUUACGUUUCUUUUUCCGUGCUUUAAGAUAACCAGAUGAGGCUACUGUGUUCAUAAAGGAGCAAAAGAUUCACCGUGAUGUGGUCGCUUUGGAGAAUGCAGAAAUGGCACUUCACAUUCCUGUCUGUGGAGUCUGCAACACAUCAUGGCAGAAAAGCCGUUUUUGCUGAUUUUCUUUUCCCAUCAGACACUAGACUACAUCGCUUUUUGGAGACUGUUAUUGUUAAUAUUUGUAAGUGCAUUUAAUGAAGCUUUGACCUGUUGAGGAAUCAAUCAGGUCUAAUUUCAGUCUUUUCUGUCUAAACUUUUUUUUUUGUUUUUUUUGCUAGAACUACUGUCAAGUCUUGAUUUUGUUAAUUUUGUCUUUUUUCUUGAUACGUGUGACAGCACACAGAAUACCUGUUGAUAACUGACAACUUUUCCUUCUAAUUUGACUAAAUGCUUUUGUCAAUUUUCAAUAAAUAUGUAUAAUUAUA